UGAGCUUGUCUCAGGCUGUGAGAAUGGAUA
rnacentral:piRNA from 1 species